CCUACGGGAGGCAGCAGUGGGGAAUAUUGGACAAUGGGCGAAAGCCUGAUCCAGCGACGCCGCGUGGGUGAAGAAGGCCUGCGGGUUGUAAAGCCCUUUCGGUGGGGAAGAAAAGCCUCGACCUAAUACGUCGGGGUCUUGACGUAACCCAAGAAAGAAGCACCGGCUAACUCUGUGCCAGCAGCCGCGGUAAUACAGAGGGUGCGAGCGUUAAUCGGAAUUACUGGGCGUAAAGCGCGCGUAGGCGGCUUUGCAAGUCGGGUGUGAAAUCCCCAGGCUUAACCUGGGAACUGCACUCGAGACUGCAUUGCUAGAGUAUGGGAGAGGGAAGUGGAAUUUCCGGUGUAGCGGUGAAAUGCGUAGAUAUCGGAAGGAACAUCAGUGGCGAAAGCGACUUCCUGGACCAAUACUGACGCUCAUGUGCGAAAGCGUGGGGAGCAAACAGGAUUAGAUACCCGAGUAGUC
rnacentral:rRNA from 1 species